UACAGGAAGUGAGAAGCAAAGAUCCUCUGGCUGUGAGCUCCAUGCGGCAAACAUCUCUGGAUUUAUUCUCUUGACCUCCAACAUGGGCAUUCUUUGAAUGAAGCUGUCAAUCCAGCUUCUGACACUGCAGAGAAAUAUGAUCUGUAGGCCGUGAGGGGCCUGGGGGAAGGCACUGUGUUAUGGUGACCUUCGGAAUCCUCACUUGCUGGCAGAGGCCCCCUUAAUUAUUUUAUGGAUUGAUAAAGUGAGUGAGCAGAUUAACAGAUUAAACAGGUAGAAUGGAAAGGUGGGACCAUGGUUGAAAUGUUCUAAAACCCUGGCUUCAGACAGAGCUGUGACCCUGGGUCUUUGUCGUUCAGACUCUGGUCUCUGUAAUAUGAGACGACUCAACCACAUAGUACAUGCCCACGUGAUGGACACAAAUUGUGGCCACCUUAGCAGUCCUGCUGGCUCAUGCUUCUCCGGCUCCUUCACAGAUAGCUGUUAGCAUGGCUUCCCCUCCCUCUUCAAUCUGGAACAUCAAGUGCCAUAAUGAAAAGGGCCUGUGUCAAAGUUUAAGCUGGCCAAAGAUUGGGUAGCGUCUUCAUGCUGGCCUCUUGUAGUGAGAAUGUAGCAGUCAUGGCCUCUUCAAGAGCAGGGUUCCUAGAGAUAGUCUAAUUCAACACCUUCAUUACAGCGGAGGAGAUAGAGACCCCAGAAGAUGCCACUGUUGCCGGCUUAGUCACAGCAACACUUUGGCUUUUGGUCUUAUGUUCUUAGCAUGUCCACAAAAUGGGGCCCUGGCUGAGAGCAGAAGCCUGAACAGGGAUUAUUUAUAGCAGCUCCUGGUGAGCAGCUGGGUGGAAGAAGAAGUGGAAACAGCUGCAGAAGAGUUGGACACUUUCCAAGAUCCCUCCUGUGACCUUGUGAUCCUUGCUUGUCUGGGCUGAUGGUAACAGCACACAGUGGUGUGUAUAGUGUCUUCCUCUGCUUCUCGACUUACAGAAACAUCCUCUACCACCUUCAGCCUGCUGGGAUUUCUCUUAAUGAGGAGACCAUGACCUCUUAGACAUGUGUUGGUCACCAUGCUCUUUGUAAAGACUCCAGGGGCACCCUCGGCAAUCUAUGGUUGGUAUCUCUUGUUACCUCGAUACAUCGCAAGCAUUUCACAAUGUGGUCUGUCUCCUCCUUCAUUCCUGUCUCCUCUGCCCUUGAAGAUAGAAGUCUUCCAGCUACUUUCUUUCUCUUCUUCCCUGUUGUCCUAUGUUCUCCCUUUCCUGCGAUUGCACACACCCUGGAUUCAUCCAUCUUCAUAUUACACAUGUCUCUAAGCAAUUCCAGGAGCUCCUGUGGUUUCAGCCUCUCCUGUUGAUGUGGCAUUAUCUCCUCACCAGCCUUUCCAGGCUCCAAGCCUCCAUUCUCUACUCCACUCCACGGCAGUGCAUGGAUGCCCUGCACACUGCAUCUUCCAGACCUUGAGGCCAGUUGCUUCCCAUUAGCCCCUUUAAUGCAAGACAUUGGCAGUAGACAGGAAAAUAAGAUGAAGGGUGAAGACAGUCCCUUUCAUUUCCAGCUCUGGCCAGCAGCACCCCAACAGCAACAGAUGGUUGGCUCCAGGCUCCAACUCCUUUUGGCUUUCUCAGCAGCCUUGCAAUAACCCUUGAAGGAACUAACAGCACCCAGCACCCAUAAAGGCAUGGCUGGGCCACAACCUGUUUUGCUGUGUACCCUGGUUCUCCAUGGCCCCUGUUUGGCCGUAUCUUCUCCUCAAAAGUCUGAACAUUGGCUGCAGGAUGUCUCCACCCCACUUGUCUGGGCCCCAGCCAUGGAGCACUCCUUCCUUAAAGUCUUAAGCAUCAUUCAUGAGCUGUUCUUGACUUAGAGGUCUGAGCACCAGCUGUGCUGUGUCCCAUACUCACACAUCCAGCCUCCAGCUGUAGGUAGCUAACACCAGGAUUUCGGACCCCUGCCGCUGAUAGCGCCUUUCCCAUGUCCUCCUCUGGGCCCGUAGUUAUUAAUCUCUGUGGACAUUUGACCAUCUGCUACCUGUGUAAGCAAUCCUUUGCAUUAAAUUUCGUGUUCUGAAUACCCA